UACGGAGGGGGCUAGCGUUGUUCGGAAUUACUGGGCGUAAAGCGCACGUAGGCGGCUUUGUAAGUUAGAGGUGAAAGCCCAGGGCUCAACCCUGGAAUUGCCUUUAAGACUGCAUCGCUUGAAUCAUGGAGAGGUGAGUGGAAUUCCCGGUGUAGUGGUGAAAUGCGUAGAUAUCGGGAGGAACACCAGUGGCGCAAGCGGCUAACUGGCCGAGACCUGACGCUGAGACGCGACGGCGUGGGGAGCAAACCGG
rnacentral:rRNA from 1 species